rnacentral:snRNA from 1 species
GGGAGGGCAGUCUGGCUGUGACAUGUGUCACCCCAUUGAUGGCCAACGUUGAUCUGGUUGAUCUGGCUGGAUAGGUGUCCUCUUACUCCCUCGUCCCUCCUGAAGCUGCACUCUGUGGAAGAGGACGACCUUCCCUGAAUAGAGGAAGACAGGUCUUCUGUCACGUGAAUACGAGUAACUGUGUUCCCCCUCUGCUAGAACCUCCAAACAGUCUAUCAACUAUAACUUCUGGGAAGUCUAGGAACAUCUCCCACAGUAGUUAUGGAUUUAC